UAGGUGGAGUCUCGUCAUGUUGGUCUUCUGACUGGUCCUGAAGAGUUGGAGGCGGGCCUGCUCUAGCCAGAGCAGGAGCCCCAUUGGUGCACAGCAAAGUCCUUUGCUCUUGGCACCCAACCAGUAGGGGGGGGUAGAGUGUGAGUGUACAGUGCUCAUGAAAUGUAUGUGUCAAGGAAGCGUGGAUUUAGGUGUUUCCUGUCUUUGCAGGAGUGCAUGCAAGGGUCAAUGUCAGUGAGAUAGUUUGGCACCCUAAGCUCGUUAGUGUUGCAGGCUGUUCUUUGUAGUUACAGGGGAUUAUAUUUGCGUGAUGGCAGCUGUGUGUCCUUCGGAUAAUCAUGUUAUUGCACGUAGGCUCUAAACUUGACUGAGGACACUGGGCCCAGAGUUAUCUGAGGGCAUCCGGUUUAACCAGAGCUUUGGUCUGCUAGUAAUGCUUGAUAUUUGAUUAUUUAUAUAACACUGGCCAAAAGUGAUCCUCUAUCACAGUUUAAUACAAUUACAGAGUGAUCCCUAUCAUAGUUUAACUGCUAUUAGGCAGAGGGAACGAAAUUUAAGGAACAUCAAAGUAAAAUAAAUUAUAAGCGAGGAUAAAAACACUGAUGUGAUAAAGUGGUAAGCGACUGCAGUAAGAAUAAUAAAAAGGUGUCAAAACAAAUAAUAAAUAAAAAUAAUUAAAGAAGCAUUAACCGAAUAGUAUAAAACGAAUAGAACAGGGUGCAACAAAAGAGAAAGCAGAAUCGCCAAUAAACUGAAAUUAUACUAUAACGAUUAAAACAAAUCUAGGUUAGUUAAGAUAAAGAGUGAUAAAUAAGUCAAAUCCAGGACACAUUAAGAAUUCAUAAACAGUGUAAACGGAGUAAGAGGAAAAAACAGGAGAGACUACGGUCUAAAAAUAGCCUGAAGGGCAGAGAGGGUUGCAAAAUAUUGUGGUCAGGGUAAGAAAGGAAAGAAGAGAGGCUUGCCUCAUUAAUAAAUUGACCAUAGUAUCAAAACAACAAGAAUAUAAAUAAAGAGAUAAGAAAGUGUAGACAUUAUAACGUAGGCUUUGAUAGGAGAAAUUAAGUGACGUGACUAAUAAAUUAUUAUUUGGGAAAGUAGGGUAGCUCUACCUUGGAAAAUAGUAAAUAUAAUGUGUAUAAUGCGAUGGGAGUGUUUAGGAAAAAUAAAUAGUGGCAUGGAAACAAAUGGACUGUUUCUCCCUGGAAUAUAGAGAUAGCGAAAUUUAAUAAAGCCAUAGAGUAGCUGAAAGAAGCGCACGUGAAUUCUAAUUCGGCUUGAAUAUGAAAGAGCAAACUGGAUAAUGGAGGACAACAUUACCCGGUAAACAGAAUAAAUAAAAUAAACGAUUCAGGGAGGCAAUUAGGAAUUGGAACAAUCACAUAAAACCAUAAUAAGAAGCUCAAUUUACCAGCGUUCUGAUGUCAGCAUUCUAUCAUCAGAAAAAACAUUACUAUGGGGGACAGAUAUGAUUCUGCUUGCCCUCGCAGACGUGCGAGUGGUGUGCAGAGCUAUAGAAAAUAUCUAAGCGUAAAAAGUUGUAGAUGUGGAGCUAACAAGUAUGGGAAAAAUGAGUGUAAGAUGACACUGGAACUUAGUGCGGUAGCAGGAAAUGCCGCUAUAAAAGAGUUUGCAUCUUUGUCAAAAGAACAAACAACUAAUCGUUUUGAGGUUAGUAAGAAUGGAAUUUUCACCAAGAGGUGUAUAGUCUCUGAUCGAUCAAUAAGUGGUUCAAAGAGAUUACAAUUGAUAUGUGAUGAAAUACGUACUAGAUCACGUUUUACCUAACUUCUAGUAAGGUACCGAUGUGAUUUACAAAUAGCCCUACUUGAAAUCAUUUUGCAUUGAAACAACAGUUUUAGUGGUGAUAAAAUACGUGGAGAAGUUGUUAUUAGCGUCAAAAUACGGAAAAUAAACGUAUAUGAGAAAUCACAAAGGUGGGAAAAUUAGUUAGAAUAAAAGCAAAUUGUAAUAUAUGGGUGUUUUCAAUUUCUAAGGGUAAGAUACAGAUAACCGAGCAGGAAGAAACUAUGCGUUCUGUGCAUGGCUAAAACUUUUAUCGCAUGCUCAGGAAAAGUAAGGGGAUUUUAGUUUUGUUAGACAUUCUAUAGCGUCAUUUUCUGAAACUGCUAAGACGCUUAUAGAAUAAAAUCAAUAUAUAUGUAAUACUAUUGGCUUGCUGAUUUAAAAGGUAACAUUGUGAAUGUUAACGAAAUGUACAUUUCUUUUCCAGAAAAAAGGGGUUACAUUUUCUCUGGUCAAAAUGUCAUUGGAGACUGUGGUACUGAGGAAAGCAGUUAGAGAUAUUCGGCCACUUUAAAAGUCUUAGUAUCUGGAUAAGGCUAUAACUGGAGUUCCGGAUAAGUGAGGCCAGCUCUUGUGUGUUCUUGGCCUAUAUGAGAUAGUGGAUUUCCUUUGGAAGGGUUUUUUCAAUUCAGUUUCAAAUUGAGUAUGCAGAAGGAUGGAAAUGUUUUUGAAAAUUUAUUUAAAUUGUUUCUAAAGAAAAGAGAGUGGAAACAUUUUAAUGGUGUCAAUUGCCCUGAACCCUAAGAAUUUCCCAUGAAGACUGAUCAACUUCACUAGAAAUUGUUGGAACAGGUGGGAUUUAAUUAUAAAAUGAUUGAGAAACACCAGUCUCUAUUCAAAGUGUACCAUCACUUUGAAAUUAUAUUAUUUCCUUGGGAAAAGGAUGAAGAGUUGUAAUCUUAAAUUGACUAGUUAUUCAAAUAGACAUGCUGGAAUGAUAUGUGCUGGGAGAAGAAAGACUAAAGGGGAUUGGGGUAAUGACCUUUUAUUACCAGGCCACUCAUGACAGAAAAACAGAGGCAAAAGGGCGCAUGGUAAAAUAGAUAAUACUGGUACUAAAAGUUUUUAGUAUAAUGUUAAUUAUUAAAGGGAUGAUGUAUUGAAUUGAGAAGGUCAAAUUUGAGUUAAAGUAAGCACUAAGGACUGAUAUCCUGAAUAUUGGGUUGGACAAUUUAUAAACAACAUUUAGUUAUGUUUUGGAUAUAGGACUGUUUAAAUUUACUAGGCCUAGGGAAGCUCUGGAAACUAAUCCUGAGACAGGUUGAUUGACAGAACUUGCAGAAUAUUAGAUUAAAGGUUUUUGUUUCUUUUGUUUUACAAUGUCAUUGUAAUUGAAGUGAUGAAUUGGAAUGAUAUAAGUAAUUGAAUAAAAGGUAGUCUGUUGUGCGAUAACACCCAAGGAUGAAGAAGAAAGAGUCCAAUAUGGGCAUAGAACAAAAUGGAUGGAUGUUUUCCCCAGGUUUAAUUACAUUACAAAUAGUGGUAAUUUAUUGCAAAUAUGCAGUUAUUAUAAUUUACUUUACUAUUUGUCUUGUUUGGUCAAUUUAUUUUUGUUUUGAGGAAAAUAAGUGUGUAUAUUGUUCCUGAGGAGGGACUGAUAUAAAUAGACUAAAAAUAAUUUGAGAAUGUUUAAGUAUGUAUCAAACUAUGGAAGGAAAUUAGGAGUAAUGACUUAUGGGUUAGAAAAACUGUAACUACAUUGGGGGCUCAUAUAUGAAGGUUAUGGUAGCGGAGGGGUGUUAUUUCUAGAAACAAUGUAUAUUAAUAGACAAGAUAAUUCACAGAAAAGGAAGGACAGUUGGUCUUGUAAAAAUAUAGGGAUAUAAAAUAUAGGGACAAUUCUAAAAGUAAAUAGAACAUUACACAUACCUAGAUUAAGGUAAAAGUAAUAAGUAGUGGCAUUUUGAACACUAGAGCAAAAGUUUAAGAAGCUUAGGACUUAGUUUUGUUAGGAUUGGAUAUUCUUCCAACUGGAAAACACUUGACUGAUUACAUGUUAUUCUUACAGCAGUUGCUGUAGGGACCAUAAUUUGGCUAUCAUUAUGAAUAUUUUUGUGGCAGGAGGCCAGGUAUUUGAGACAGAAUGUUUACAUAGGGCUGUUAUUUUAAAAUUAAGAUUUAGUGAUCUUGCUAUAAGAAGAAAGUCUGUUGUCAGGAAAUAACCCAUGUGUUAGUGUGUAUAUCCCCAGGAAAAAACAGCACAUAAGAGGCCAGAUGGAAGGGCAUGGGCUGAAUUCUGGAGACUGAGUGUACAUCAAGAUACACCAGGCUGGGGAAAUACUUCUUACAGCACCUGCAGUGGUAAAGAUCGUCAUGUUUCUCUUUGAAAGAAGGCAGAAACCUGAACCAGGACGAGAGGUUCCACAUCUGAUGAUCCAAGGGGACCAGAAGGACCUCUCCCAGUGAUACCAGGAGAUCUGGUCUACGUUCGAGUGUUCCGAAGGAAGUGGGAUCAGCCGAGGAGAGAAGGACCCUACGAGGUGGCAACAGCCACAAACACGGCCGUCCAAGUGAAAGGAAGCAAGACGUCAUCUAAACCACUGCACACGAGUCCUGACGGAGAGAAGGACACAACCAUACAGAGAUGAGGACACAGAGGAUGCUGAUUCACCAGGCGGGAGCCCGGAGGGAGCAGGAGCAGCGGAAACGAUCAAAGCGCCGGGGAGGAAUCAAGAAAAUGUCAGACCAGAUACAAGCCAAGAUACAACGAGUGCAUCAACUAUGCUGAAAAGAGGCUGAAAAGAAAAGAGACAAACAACCAAAGCUUCCUCCAGUAAGGCCAGAAAGCCCAGAAAUGGGGGGGGUAGCAUGUCUGCUACUCCUGAUGAUAUACCUGUUGGGGCAGACCUUGUUGACGGAAGCCCUCUACAGUGGGACCCCGAGGUAUCGCCUAAAGAAUGGGAACAUCUCUUCCCUGAAAUGGACACCUUCCCAGAUGGAAGCCCAGUUCGGCCUGAGGAGGGAACAACAGGCGAAGAGAGUGGAGGAGAAGCCUUACCAAGAGCAGAAGGGGAGAUCUUGCAAGGAAGAACAGAAGUCCUGCAAGAUGAAAGAAAUGGGGAUUUCCCCACAAUUGACUUUCCAGCCCCUACCUGGUCUCCAAAAUGAACAAUUGAAAUUAGGACCACAAAAGAACAGUGACCAUGACAGAGUAAGAACAACCGAGGACAAUACGAAGAUGAUGCACGCACUCACGAUCAAGAUAAAUGAUAAAAACAGGAAGAGAAGAGAGGAAUCUGUCGAACGAGGUGAAAAGACAGGAUUUUUUGACAGGUUUAAAUUUUCUGUUCCGCCACAAAUUCUAACAGAACCAGGGGAACAAAAGACAGUUUCUGUAUGGAAGAAGAAACCCCUACCGGAAGAACCACUCUGUGGAUGGACACAUCAUCAAACAAAGGGAGAAGUUGUUUGGGACCCCAAAGGAUGUGACCUGACAUGAAUCAAAUAUGUGGAAGAGUGGGAGUUUAUCAUGAACAAGAUAACACCAGCAGAAGGUGAAGAAUUAAUAGUUUAAAUAACGAGAAGAAGAUUGACCGAAGGGAGUAGCACCUCGGUCAUUAGAAUUGGUCUUACGCCAAUACCUAAACAGGAAGAGCCUGUGGUAGCUAGAACGACAACAACAGUGGAAGCUGCUGUGAAGACCACAGUAGCUACCACUAAGAUAACAUCAACUGCCCUUACCAAGCAGUCCACUGUACUCACAAAGACAGCUAAAGCAUCAGAACCAGGAGGGUUCUUUACUGACAUUUGGAACUUUUUGACAAACUCUAAUGAUAUACCUCAAGACAAAAACAUUGUAAAAGCGACAUCUAUCUCAGAAUCAGAACCACUCAAGGACACCACACGAGAAGAAGUAGUGAAGAAUGAGUGGUACGAAUGGGCUAAGUAUACAGCAGAAAUAAACAUAGGAUGGACAAUUGUAUUUUGUGUAGAAAAUCACCACUGUCUGAUCUUUUGAUAGUACCUGAACUUGCAUCAUUUGAAGAAUGUGUUAAAUGUAAAAUGUUCGAUAUUCAGAGAAAAUACUACAUUCCUUUGUGUAACAUAGAAUGCAGUUUGGCACUAGGUAACACUAAAGGCAGAAGUGAAUUAAAUAAAGAUAUGCUGGGAGAACAUGAAUGUGCAACAUAAGAACGGAAUUGAAUGAUCCUCAGAAUGAUGGGUUUACUAUUGUAAAAAGAAAAGAAAAGGGGGAAUAAAUGAAUGUUUUUACAGCUAUGGAGAUAAUGGGAUGGAUGUGGGAAACACUAUAGUUAAUUGAAUAAACUAUUUGGGUGUUAGAAACUGCAGGAGUUAGUCAAUUUGAUAAAGUAAUGAUUGUAAAACACAAAGGUAAAAUGUGGUAAUAUCACACAAGUAACAUCAUAUCUUGAAAUGUUAAAGAAUCAGGAUUAAGGAAUAGCUGAUAGUUUCUGGAUGUGUGGGCAUACUACAUGCUCAUGCUUCAUCAAAAUGUAAUGCAUUAUUUUUAUUGUUUCUAUACCGAAUUAGAUCUUUUACUCUUAUGAAAUACUAGAGAUGUUUGGUCUAGUUAGGUUUUCUUUAAAUGUUUCUAAUUGGAUAUUUUACUCCUAUCUAUGUUAUUGUUUGGAGAUGUUUGGUCUAGUUGGGUUUUGUAAGUCUUUUAUGUUUCAAAUAGGAUCUGGAGAUGUUUGGUCCAGGUGAUUUGUAAGCUUUAUUUUUGUUAAUCAACUGUUGGUAUUAUGCUCCACCCUAUAUGUCCUUUUAGUGUAAUUUUUGGUGUUAAAUAAGCACCAGAGGAGGGUUUUGUGGGAGAAAGAUGUACAUAUAGGGAGGAACAUAAUACUGUAACACAAGAGAAAGAUACACUUAGAGUGCAUUUGCCAUUCUGGUAAAAUGCAUUGUCUAUUGUAUAGGACAGGAGGCCAGAGUAAGGCCAUGAGAGUAUAGGACAGCUGAACAUUAAAAACAGACCACACGAAGAGAAGACGACACAUAGGCGCCUAGGACAACUGGACACACAAGAUAGAGGAGACACAUAGUCUGCUGAUCCUAGAUAACACACAUACAAAAGAACGCAUUAAGCUAAGUGCAGGGCCAAAGCAAGCCUAUAGGAUAGAGGAAUGUAUAGUAUUUUUAGUAUAGCUGGACACGCUAAAAACAGAGAAGACACAUAGUCUGCUGAUCCUAGAUAACACACAUACAAAAGAACGCAUUAAGCUAAGUGCAGGAACAAAGCAAGCCUAUGGAAUAGAGGAAUGUAUAUUAUUUUUAGGACAAAGCAAGGGUCUUGCCACCAUUAUAAUCUGACGAAAAGCAGAUAUGGGCGUGAACAAGCAGGAAGCCUGAACUAAAAAGAGAAUGGUAGGCAGAAGAAUUAGGGGAAGUAUGUUUAUCUGCAUAUGGGUUGGACCCAUAUGCUAUAUGUGUAUAAAUACAGGAACCGGGGCUCUGGGAAGCGGGGUGUGUUCCGCAGACCACUCCGGCUUGCUUUAUGUUGUAUUAAAAGCCUAUAUUGAUUUCACAA
ensembl:lncRNA